rnacentral:rRNA from 1 species
GACGAACGCUGGCGGCGUGCCUAAUACAUGCAAGUAGAACGCUGAAGAGAGGAGCUUGCUCUUCUUGGAUGAGUUGCGAACGGGUGAGUAACGCGUAGGUAACCUGCCUUGUAGCGGGGGAUAACUAUUGGAAACGAUAGCUAAUACCGCAUAACAAUGGAUGACACAUGUCAUUUAUUUGAAAGGGGCAAUUGCUCCACUACAAGAUGGACCUGCGUUGUAUUAGCUAGUAGGUGAGGUAACGGCUCACCUAGGCGACGAUACAUAGCCGACCUGAGAGGGUGAUCGGCCACACUGGGACUGAGACACGGCCCAGACUCCUACGGGAGGCAGCAGUAGGGAAUCUUCGGCAAUGGGGGCAACCCUGACCGAGCAACGCCGCGUGAGGGAAGAAGGUUUUCGGAUCGUAAAGCUCUGUUGUAAGUCAAGAACGAGUGUGAGAGUGGAAAGUUUACACUGUGACGGUAGCUUACCAGAAAGGGACGGCUAACUACGUG